UUUUGAAUUGUAAAAAUUAAUAAUACCUAAGUAUUAUGAAAAUAUUAUUUUGUGUUAAUAUUUUAUUAUUUAAAACUUAAAAGGUUUGGCGGUUUUACAUAUCCAGUUAGGGGAGUUUGUUAAUUGAUUUGAUGAUCCUCGUUUUAAACUUACUUUUUUUUGUUAUAUUUAUUUAUACAGUUUGUAUAUUGCUGUCGUUAGUUUAUGUUUUGAGAAUUAUUAAAAGACUAGAAAAUGAAUUGAUUUAUAUGUUAAGUCAUAAUGCAGCUAAUAAAAAAGGUUUAAUGAGCUACUUUAAUAAAUUUUAUUGAAUACCAGAUUUUAAAAAUUAUAUUUUAUUAGAAAGGUGGACUUAAUAGUAAAUAAUAAUUAGUAUGUAUUAUUGAAUUUGGUUUUGUAGAGUG
rnacentral:rRNA from 4 species